GGGGGGGGAGCGGGAAGCGGAGCCCCCUCCUGUCUGAAACGGCACCUUCCGAACUCGGGAAAUAAGUUUCUCCUGGAGGAGGGGUCUGCGGCUCCCUGCCGGCCCGCUGCUCUGUGCUGGGGAAGGGCCUUCCUCGGGUCCUGACUUGGUUUGGCAGCUUGGGAGCUGAUGUCACAUGGGAUCCUUCUGCCGAAAUGUUUAACGAAACAGCAGAGCAAAGCGUCGAAAUUUUUGUGUUUGCACUUCCUACGCCUACAAACCUUUGUUCUGCGAAGGAAGAGGAGAAAAGAAAACAAGAAAGAGCGAUGAGGCUGUGAUUGGAAGUCCUGUCAAAUAAUAAGUAAACAAAAGCAAUGCAGGAGGAGUUAUUGUUCUGUGUUCUGGAGUCUUUUGGUAGAUUCCUGUUUACCAUGUGAAAAUGACCUGUGACAUAUUUCAUUACUGGAAGCCGAAUCUGCCCUUUUAAACUAAGUGAAAGUAGCCUUGCUCUUUGUUACUUAUUACUUUUUGCUAAUUGUGGAUUCUGACGUUAGAAACAGUAAAGGUUAUAGUCCCUUAUUUAAUCUGCAGCUUGCUCUCUGUAAAGUAAAUGUCAGUGUGGCUGACUCGAGUUAGAUGAAGUGAAGAUGUUUUUCAUUGACUUAAACUGCACUGCUGUGAAUGAAGCUGGAAUAAACUGCAGGCUAUUUUCUGACAAAUAUUAAGCUUGCAAAAUAUUUGCUAAUAUACUUGAUUACGCUUUAAUUGUAUUUUAAAAUGCUUUCACUAGGUUCUUUCCAGCCAACAAAUGAAAUGAUGCUGAAGUUCUAUAGCUUUUAUAAGCAGGCAACACAAGGACCCUGUAACAUUCCAAGACCUGGAUUUUGGGAUCCAAUUGGUAGAUAUAAAUGGGAUGCUUGGAGUGCCCUGGGAGAUAUGUCCAAAGAGGAAGCCAUGAUAGCUUAUGUUGAAGAAAUGAAAAAGGUAAAUUUAUUAACAAGUGGGAGGUAUC